rnacentral:rRNA from 1 species
UACGGAGGGGGCUAGCGUUGUUCGGAAUUACUGGGCGUAAAGCGCGCGUAGGCGGCUUUGCAAGUCAGAGGUGAAAGCCCGGGGCUCAACCCCGGAAUUGCCUUUGAGACUGCAUCGCUAGAACGUCGGAGAGGUAAGUGGAAUUCCGAGUGUAGAGGUGAAAUUCGUAGAUAUUCGGAAGAACACCAGUGGCGAAGGCGACUUACUGGACGACUGUUGACGCUGAGGUGCGAAAGCGUGGGGAGCAAAC